rnacentral:lncRNA from 1 species
GUACAGCCACGUCCUUCCAUCUUCUUCUACUCGCGAAACCCCAAAUUUCCUGCCGCUCCGGAUUUCUGGUGUAACUUUCUGCCUGAAUAAUUAAGCUUCAUCAAAUCUAUGUUAAUGGCUUCUGCAAUCAAAACCUACUUGCCGAUAGAAUUUCCAUGCCUUCGCCCUAUAUAUAUAUCACUCUGUUACAGUCUACAAAAAAAUCCUUCACUUCCAUGACCAACAAAUCAGCAAUAUCAUCCUCCACAUUCACUACGCUAUGUUCUUCAGUUAUGUUCUUCUCGGCUUGGUAGAGGCAAAGCUUCUAUUUAGGAUCAUCCAUUUUUGGGAUCCCAGAGCACAGCGAGAGGAUACAUGCUUAUUGGUCUGGAUAUAAGGAGAGGAGG